rnacentral:rRNA from 1 species
ACUGGUUGAUCCUGCCAGUAGUCAUAUGCUUGUCUCAAAGACUAAGCCAUGCAUGUCCAAGUAUAAAUUGUGCAUUUUUGUACUGUGAAACUGCGAAUGGCUCAUUAAAUCAGUUAUGGUCUCUUUGAUAGUGUUUGCAACACUUGUGUUGUGCUAUAUGGAUAGCCGUGGCAAUUCUAGAGCUAAUACAUGCGACAAGGCCCUGGUGUGUGGGGAGGAGUGCACUUGUGUAUUCUUUUCUUCUGUUGGGGCUGCAUUUAUUAGAUACAAGCCGACAAUUUUAAUGUUUGGUGAAUCACAAUAACUUUGCUGACCUUUGAGUUUUUUUUGCUCGAAGGUAAAUCAUUCGAAUUUCUGCCCUAUCAACUUUCGAUGGUAAGGUAUUGGCUUACCAUGGUGAUCACGGGUGACGGGGAACAUUUGGUUCGAUUCCGGAGAGGGAGCCUGAGAGACGGCUACCACUUCCAAGGAAGGCAGCAGGCGCGCAAAUUACCCAAUCCUGACACAGGGAGGUAGUGACAAUAAAUACCAAUGCGUUGCAGAUUUCUGUGAUGCAAUUGGAAUGAGAACAACUUAAUGAACUUAUCGAGAACCAAUUGGAGGGCAAGUCUGGUGCCAGCAGCCGCGGUAAUUCCAGCUCCAAUAGCGUAUACUAAAGUUGUUGCAGUUAAAAAGCUCGUAGUCUGAUUUCGGGGUGCAAUUUUUUUUCCGCGUGGUUUUUUUGAUGUGGCAUUUAGUUUUUGGAUUUCGGUCCUUAAUUAUUUGCUGCGUUUGCUGUGUGGAUGCACCUCUUUUUCCCAUUUAUCCUGUGGAUGCAUUGAUUUGCUUCUGCGUUUGGAUGUUUGGGGCUUUUACUUUGAAAAAAUUAGAGUGUUCAAAGCAGGCGGAUUUUAUUUGCUUGAAUAGAUUAGCAUGGAACAACAGAAGAGGACUUUUGGGCCUGUAUUUUGUUGGCCGGUUGGUACUUUCUUUUGAGGGUGUCUUCCGCAGGUCUGAAGUAAUGAUUAAUAGGGAUGGUUGGGGGCAUUGGUAUUUCACAGUCAGAGGUGAAAUUCUUGGAUUUGUGAAAGACGACCGACUGCGAAAGCAUUUGCCAAGGACAUUUUCAUUGAUCAAGAACGAAAGUUGGGGGAUCGAAGACGAUUAGACACCGUCGUAGUCCCAUACCAUAAACGAUGCCGACUAGCGCUCGGUGGGCAGCACUUUUUAGGUGAUUUUGGGUGGCCUUGUGUCACCUGUCACCGAUAGUGGCGCCAUCGGGAGCUUUUAGGGAAACCAAAGUGUUUGGGCUCCGGGGGUAGUAUGGUCGCAAGAUUGAAACUUAAAGGAAUUGACGGAAGGGCACCACCAGGAGGUGGAAUGUGCGGCUCAAUUUGACCCAACACGGGAAAACUCACCAGGUCCAGACAUGGCAAGGAUUGACAGAUUGACAGCUCUUUCUUGAUUCCAAGGGUGGUGGUGCAAGGCCGUUCUUAGUUCGUGGGGUGACUUGUCUGGUUGAUUCCGAUAACGAGCGAGACCUUAACCUACUAACUUGUGCGGCAAAACAUCAGCCCUUUCUUUUGAAGGGGUUGAUUCAAUGUUUUGUUGCAGGUAC